UGAGACCCUCAGGUGACCACCAAGGAAGGACACUGAAUACUUCUGGUGGGAGACAGGAAAAUCCAGUCUUGAGUACUGUACCAAGUCAAUGUACAUCUGUAGAAAGGGCAAUUCUGGAAACACUAGAGAAAAUGGACAUGAAGAUCAAGCAUCUGACUUCACUGGUCCAGUCUCUAGUGGGGAACAGGCGUGUUGUACCCCAAAUGCAGAUGGCUGAAGAGGAAGAGGGUGGUGUC